GUACUGAUGAAGAGUCCCAAACUAGGAUGAAACAGGUGUCCGGUAC
rfam:Trichobilharzia regenti genome assembly, scaffold: TRE_scaffold0037001